rnacentral:rRNA from 1 species
UGACCUCAGAUCAGACGAG